GACGAACGCUGGCGGCGUGCCUAAUACAUGCAAGUUGAGCGCUGAAGGUUGGUACUUGUACCAACUGGAUGAGCAGCGAACGGGUGAGUAACGCGUGGGGAAUCUGCCUUUGAGCGGGGGACAACAUUUGGAAACGAAUGCUAAUACCGCAUAAAAACUUUAAACACAAGUUUUUAGUUUGAAAGAUGCAAUUGCACCACUCAAAGAUGAUCCCGCGUUGUAUUAGCUAGUUGGUGAGGUAAAGGCUCACCAAGGCGAUGAUACAUAGCCGACCUGAGAGGGUGAUCGGCCACAUUGGGACUGAGACACGGCCCAAACUCCUACGGGAGGCAGCAGUAGGGAAUCUUCGGCAAUGGACGAAAGUCUGACCGAGCAACGCCGCGUGAGUGAAGAAGGUUUUCGGAUCGUAAAACUCUGUUGGUAGAGAAGAACGUUGGUGAGAGUGGAAAGCUCAUCAAGUGACGGUAACUACCCAGAAAGGGACGGCUAACUACGUG
rnacentral:rRNA from 1 species